UGGAGAAGAUGUGGCAACGUGUCCUA
rnacentral:piRNA from 1 species